ACGACCGUGUCACAUUGAAACACGCGUUCUCGUACGAUCGCUGAAGUUAAGCCGUCCAGCCUACUUAGUACCUAGAUGGGUGACCACUUAGGAAUAUCACAUGCUGUAAG